AGAGGGUGCGAGCGUUAAUCGGAAUUACUGGGCGUAAAGAGCACGUAGGUGGAUAAGUAAGUUAGAUGUGAAAGGCCUGGGCUUAACUCGGGUUUGUCAUUUAAUACUGCUUGUCUAGAGUAUGGUAGAGGAAAGUGGAAUUUCCGGUGUAGCGGUGAAAUGCGUAGAUAUCGGAAGGAACACCAGUGGCGAAGGCGACUUUCUGGACUAAUACUGACACUGAGGUGCGAAAGCGUGGGGAGCGAACAGGAUUAGAUACCCUGGUAGUCCACGCCGUAAACGAUGAAAACUAGCCGUUGGUAUCUUUAAGAUAUUAGUGGCGCAGCUAACGCGUUAAGUUUUCCGCCUGGGGAGUACGGCCGCAAGGUUA
rnacentral:rRNA from 1 species